rnacentral:rRNA from 1 species
GACGAACGCUGGCGGCGUGCUUAACACAUGCAAGUCGAACGAAGAGCGAUGGAAGCUUGCUUCUAUCAAUCUUAGUGGCGAACGGGUGAGUAACGCGUAAUCAACCUGCCCUUCAGAGGGGGACAACAGUUGGAAACGACUGCUAAUACCGCAUACGAUCUGACCUCGGCAUCGAGGAUAGAUGAAAGGUGGCCUCUACAUGUAAGCUAUCACUGAAGGAGGGGAUUGCGUCUGAUAGCUAGUUGGAGGGGUAACGGCCCACCAAGGCGAUGAUCAGUAGCCGGUCUGAGAGGAUGAACGGCCACAUUGGGACUGAGACACGGCCCAGACUCCUACGGGAGGCAGCAGUGGGGAAUCUUCCGCAAUGGACGAAAGUCUGACGGAGCAACGCCGCGUGAGUGAUGACGGCCUUCGGGUUGUAAAGCUCUGUUAAUCGGGACGAAAGGCCUUUUUGCGAAUAGUGAGAAGGAUUGACGGUACCGGAAUAGAAAGCCACGGCUAACUACGUG